AACGUAGGAGCCAAGCGUUAUCCGAAUUCACUGGGCGUAAAGCGCGAGCAGGCGGUUCGUUAAGUUGGAUGUGAAAUCUCCUGGCUCAACUGGGAGAGGACGUACAAGACUGGCGGACUGGAGGGCAGUAGAGGGAGGUGGAAUUCCCGGUGUAGUGGUGAAAUGCGUAGAUAUCGGGAGGAACACCAGUGGCGAAAGCGGCCUCCUGGACUGCACCUGACGCUGAGAUGCGAAAGCUAGGGGAGCAAACGGG
rnacentral:rRNA from 1 species